UGGGGAAUUUUGCGCAAUGGGGGAAACCCUGACGCAGCAACGCCGCGUGGAGGAUGAAAUCCCUUGGGAUGUAAACUCCUUUCGAUAGGGAAGAUAAUGACGGUACCUAUAGAAGAAGCCCCGGCUAACUUCGUGCCAGCAGCCGCGGUAAUACGAGGGGGGCAAGCGUUGUUCGGAAUUAUUGGGCGUAAAGGGUGCGUAGGCGGUUUGGUAAGUCUUUUGUGAAAUCUAUGGGCUCAACUCAUAGACUGCAAGGGAAACUGCCGGGCUUGAGUGUGGGAGAGGUGAGUGGAAUUCCUGGUGUAGCGGUGAAAUGCGUAGAUAUCAGGAGGGACACCUGUGGCGAAAGCGGCUCACUGGACCACAACUGACGCUGAUGCACGAAAGCUAGGGGAGCAAACAGGAUUAGAUACCCUGGUAGUCCUAGCCCUAAACGAUGACUGCUUGGUGUGACGGGUACCCAAUCCCGCCGUGCCGUAGCUAACGCGUUAAGCAGUCCGCCUGGGGAGUACGGUCGCAAGGCUG
rnacentral:rRNA from 1 species